rnacentral:misc_RNA from 1 species
GAUGUAGAACGUAGCGAAAUGCGAUAAGUAGUGUGAAUUGCAGAAUUCAGUGAAUCAUCGAAUCUUUGAACGCACAUUGCGCCCUUUGGUAUUCCAAAGGGCAUGCCUGUUCGAGCGUCAUUUGUACCCUCAAGCUUUGCUUGGUGUUGGGCGUCUUGUCUCUAGCUUUGCUGGAGACUCGCCUUAAAGUAAUUGGCAGCCGGCCUACUGGUUUCGGAGCGCAGCACAAGUCGCACUCUCUAUCAGCAAAGGUCUAGCAUCCAUUAAGCCUUUUUUUCAACUUUUGACCUCGGAUCAGGUAGGGAUACCCGCUGAACUUAAGCAUAUCAAUAAGCGGAGGA